rnacentral:rRNA from 1 species
GUGGGGAAUAUUGGACAAUGGACGAAAGUCUGAUGGUGCAACGCCGCGUGGAGGAUGACGGUCUUCGGAUUGUAAACUCCUGUCAUCCGGGAGUAAGACCUGGCUGUGAAUAGCAGACAGGGUUGAUAGUACCGGAAGAGGAAGGGACGGCUAACUUCGUGCCAGCAGCCGCGGUAAUACGAAGGUCCCGAGCGUUGUUCGGAAUCACUGGGCGUCAAGGGAGCGUAGGCGGCGUGGUAAGUCAGAUGUGAAAUCCCGGGGGUCAACCCCGGAACUGCAUCCGAUACUGGCGUGCUAGAGGGGUGGAGAGGUAGCUGGAAUUCUUGGUGUAGCAGUGAAAUGCGUGGAGAUCAAGAGGAACACGCGUGGCGAAAGCGAGCUACUGGACAAUAUCUGACGCUGAGGCUCGAAGGCCAGGGUAGCGAAAGGGAUUAGAUACCCGUGUAGUCC